AAAUUGAAGAGUUUGAUCAUGGCUCAGAUUGAACGCUGGCGGCAGGCCUAACACAUGCAAGUCGAACGGUAACAGGAAGAAGCUUGCUUCUUUGCUGACGAGUGGCGGACGGGUGAGUAAUGUCUGGGAAACUGCCUGAUGGAGGGGGAUAACUACUGGAAACGGUAGCUAAUACCGCAUAACGUCGCAAGACCAAAGAGGGGGACCUUCGGGCCUCUUGCCAUCGGAUGUGCCCAGAUGGGAUUAGCUAGUAGGUGGGGUAACGGCUCACCUAGGCGACGAUCCCUAGCUGGUCUGAGAGGAUGACCAGCCACACUGGAACUGAGACACGGUCCAGACUCCUACGGGAGGCAGCAGUGGGGAAUAUUGCACAAUGGGCGCAAGCCUGAUGCAGCCAUGCCGCGUGUAUGAAGAAGGCCUUCGGGUUGUAAAGUACUUUCAGCGGGGAGGAAGGGAGUAAAGUUAAUACCUUUGCUCAUUGACGUUACCCGCAGAAGAAGCACCGGCUAACUCCGUGCCAGCAGC
rnacentral:rRNA from 1 species